GAAUGCUGACAUAAGUAACGAUAAAGCGGGUGAAAAGCCCGCUCGCCGGAAGACCAAGGGUUCCUGUCCAACGUUAAUCGGGGCAGGGUGAGUCGACCCCUAAGGCGAGGCCGAAAGGCGUAGUCGAUGGGAAACAGGUUAAUAUUCCUGUACUUGGUGUUACUGCGAAGGGGGGACGGAGAAGGCUAUGUUGGCCGGGCGACGGUUGUCCCGGUUUAAGCGUGUAGGCUGGUUUUCCAGGCAAAUCCGGAAAAUCAAGGCUGAGGCGUGAUGACGAGGCACUACGGUGCUGAAGCGACAAAUGCCCUGCUUCCAGGAAAAGCCUCUAAGCAUCAGGUAACAUUAAAUCGUACCCCAAACCGACACAGGUGGUCAGGUAGAGAAUACCAAGGCGCUUGAGAGAACUCGGGUGAAGGAACUAGGCAAAAUGGUGCCGUAACUUCGGGAGAAGGCACGCUGAUAUGUAGGUGAAGCGACUUGCUCGUGGAGCUGAAAUCAGUCGAAGAUACCAGCUGGCUGCAACUGUUUAUUAAAAACACAGCACUGUGCAAACACGAAAGUGGACGUAUACGGUGUGACGCCUGCCCGGUGCCGGAAGGUUAAUUGAUGGGGUUAGCGGCAACGCGAAGCUCUUGAUCGAAGCCCCGGUAAACGGCGGCCGUAACUAUAACGGUCCUAAGGUAGCGAAAUUCCUUGUCGGGUAAGUUCCGACCUGCACGAAUGGCGUAAUGAUGGCCAGGCUGUCUCCACCCGAGACUCAGUGAAAUUGAACUCGCUGUGAAGAUGCAGUGUACCCGCGGCAAGACGGAAAGACCCCGUGAACCUUUACUAUAGCUUGACACUGAACAUUGAGCCUUGAUGUGUAGGAUAGGUGGGAGGCUUUGAAGUGUGGACGCCAGUCUGCAUGGAGCCGACCUUGAAAUACCACCCUUUAAUGUUUGAUGUUCUAACGUGGGCCCGUAAUCCGGGUUGCGGACAGUGUCUGGUGGGUAGUUUGACUGGGGCGGUCUCCUCCUAAAGAGUAACGGAGGAGCACGAAGGUUGGCUAAUCCUGGUCGGACAUCAGGAGGUUAGUGCAAUGGCAUAAGCCAGCUUGACUGCGAGCGUGACGGCGCGAGCAGGUGCGAAAGCAGGUCAUAGUGAUCCGGUGGUUCUGAAUGGAAGGGCCAUCGCUCAACGGAUAAAAGGUACUCCGGGGAUAACAGGCUGAUACCGCCCAAGAGUUCAUAUCGACGGCGGUGUUUGGCACCUCGAUGUCGGCUCAUCACAUCCUGGGGCUGAAGUAGGUCCCAAGGGUAUGGCUGUUCGCCAUUUAAAGUGGUACGCGAGCUGGGUUUAGAACGUCGUGAGACAGUUCGGUCCCUAUCUGCCGUGGGCGCUGGAGAACUGAGGGGGGCUGCUCCUAGUACGAGAGGACCGGAGUGGACGCAUCACUGGUGUUCGGGUUGUCAUGCCAAUGGCACUGCCCGGUAGCUAAAUGCGGAAGAGAUAAGUGCUGAAAGCAUCUAAGCACGAAACUUGCCCCGAGAUGAGUUCUCCCUGACCCUUUAAGGGUCCUGAAGGAACGUUGAAGACGACGACGUUGAUAGGCCGGGUGUGUAAGCGCAGCGAUGCGUUGAGCUAACCGGUACUAAUGAACCGUGAGGCUUAACCUUACAACGCCGAAG
rnacentral:rRNA from 1 species